CAAAAAAUCCCGUAUGUAUCCAUGCACUAAAUUGGAACGGAUGAUAUUUCAAGAUCAGUGCUCUGCAUGAAUUCCAGAAGCAACUUGCGUCAGGGGGAUUGGAGACGUACAGCAUCUGACUGAACGAUAAGUACAUAAAUAUUGAAACAAAUAUACUGAAAGAAUUCAGGCUUGCUUGCUGAGAGAAAGAAUUUUACAGAAUGGGAAGCUGCUUCAUCUUUCUGAAAAUAAAGGAAGAAAAUGCAACUUUGUUUCAGACACCUAUACUGGAGAUAACCAAUAAAGCACCAAUAUAAUGGGACAUUUGUAUUUAAUUGUAUAGGUAUGGGAAAGUAACAUGCUUAGUUAUAAUUAAA